rnacentral:rRNA from 1 species
AUUGAACGCUGGCGGCAGGCUUAACACAUGCAAGUCGAGCGGGGUGAUGGUGCUUGCACUAUCACUUAGCGGCGGACGGGUGAGUAAUGCUUAGGAAUCUGCCUAUUAGUGGGGGACAACAUCUCGAAAGGGAUGCUAAUACCGCAUAAGUCCUACGGGAGAAAGCAGGGGACCACUUGUGACCUUGCGCUAAUAGAUGAGCCUAAGUCGGAUUAGCUAGUUGGUGGGGUAAAGGCCUACCAAGGCGACGAUCUGUAGCGGGUCUGAGAGGAUGAUCCGCCACACUGGGACUGAGACACGGCCCAGACUCCUACGGGAGGCAGCAGUGGGGAAUAUUGGACAAUGGGUGGAACCCUGAUCCAGCCAUGCCGCGUGUGUGAAGAAGGCCUUAUGGUUGUAAAGCACUUUAAGCGAGGAGGAGGCUCUUUUGGUUAAUACCCAAGAUGAGUGGACGUUACUCGCAGAAUAAGCACCGGCUAACUCUGUGCCAGCAGCCGCGGUAA